GACGAACGCUGGCGGCGUGCUUAACACAUGCAAGUCGAACGAAGAAGCCCUGCUUGCGGGGGGUGUUCGUGGCGAACGGGUGAGUAACACGUGAGUAAACCCCCCUUAACUCUGGGAUAUGCCUGGGGGAAAGGGGCGAUUACAGGGUAGGAGCGCCUACGGCGCGGGGGGUGGUGUGGAGAUUUUUGGCGGUUGGGGGUGGACUCGCCGCAUAACAGCUUGUUGGUGGGGUAGUGGCUCACCAAGGCCUUGACGGGUAGCCGGCCUGAGAGGGUGACCGGCCACACUGGGACUGAGACACGGCCCAGACUCCUACGGGAGGCAGCAGUGGGGAAUAUUGCACAAUGGGCGGAAGCCUGAUGCAGCGACGCCGCGUGCGGGAUGACGGCCUUCGGGUUGUAAACCUCUUUCGGUAGGGAAGAAGCGAGAGUGACGGUACCUGGAGAAGAAGCACCGGCUAACUACGUG
rnacentral:rRNA from 1 species